GUCUCCGUGGCUCAGUCGGAAGAGCGUCAGUCUCAUAAUUCUUAUCUUUAUGAUUUAAUUGAAUAAACAAUUAGAUAUCUGAAGGUCCUGAGUUCGAACCUCAGCGGGGACA